rnacentral:rRNA from 1 species
CAGUCUGCAACUCGACUGCACGAAGCUGGAAUCGCUAGUAAUCGCGGAUCAGCACGCCGCGGUGAAUACGUUCCCGGGCCUUGUACACACCGCCCGUCACACCAUGGGAGUUUGUAACGCCCAAAGUCGGUGGCCUAACCUUUAUGGAGGGGAGCCGCCUAAGGCGGGACAGAUGACUGGGGUGAAGUCGUAACAAGGUACC